UUCCUUUAGAGAAAUUUAACCUUUGUCCUAAAAAAAACUUCUUGUGCUUAAUCUUGGUGGGCUACUAGUCGAUAGGGUGCAUCGCCGCAACGAGUCUUCGGUGCGGAGAUAUACCCCGGACCUUGCUCACGGCAAUUUCCUAGUCUUCAAGAGACCUUAUUGUGAUCAAUUUAUGAAGUUUUGCCUUGAAAGAUUUGAAGUUGGACUAUGGUCCUCUGCUAUGGAGUUA